rnacentral:rRNA from 1 species
CCUACGGGAGGCAGCAGUGGGGAAUAUUGCACAAUGGGGGAAACCCUGAUGCAGCGACGCCGCGUGAGUGAAGAAGUAAUUCGGUAUGUAAAACUCUAUCAGCAGGGAAGAAAAUGACGGUACCUGAGUAAGAAGCCCCGGCUAACUACGUGCCAGCAGCCGCGGUCAUACGUCGGGGGCGAGCGUUAUCCGGAUUCACUGGGUGUAACGGGAGCGUAGACGGCCAUGCAAGUCAGGGGUGAAAGCCCGGGGCCUAACCCCGGGACUGCGCUGGCAACUGCAGGGCUGGAGUGCGGGAGGGGCAGGCGGAAUUCCUGGUGUAGCGGUGAAAUGCGUAGAUAGCAGGAGGAACACCGGCGGCGAAGGCGGCCUGCUGGACCGCAACUGACGUUGAGGCGCGAAAGCGUGGGGAGCGAACAGGAUUAGAUACCCGAGUAGUC